rnacentral:rRNA from 1 species
GACGAACGCUGGCGGCGUGCCUAACACAUGCAAGUCGAACGGAAAGGCCCUGCUUUUGUGGGGUGCUCGAGUGGCGAACGGGUGAGUAACACGUGAGUAACCUGCCCUUGACUUUGGGAUAACUUCAGGAAACUGGGGCUAAUACCGGAUAGGAGCUCCUGCUGCAUGGUGGGGGUUGGAAAGUUUCGGCGGUUGGGGAUGGACUCGCGGCUUAUCAGCUUGUUGGUGGGGUAGUGGCUUACCAAGGCUUUGACGGGUAGCCGGCCUGAGAGGGUGACCGGCCACAUUGGGACUGAGAUACGGCCCAGACUCCUACGGGAGGCAGCAGUGGGGAAUAUUGCACAAUGGGCGGAAGCCUGAUGCAGCAACGCCGCGUGCGGGAUGACGGCCUUCAGGUUGUAAACCGCUUUCGCCUGUGACGAAGCGUGAGUGACGGUAAUGGGUAAAGAAGCACCGGCUAACUACGUG